AACGAGAAUAAAACGUGAAGGAUAACGUUGCGUCAGCAACGGCCCGUAGGGCGAGGCAAAGCCGAGUCAUCCUGCACGACCCACCA
rnacentral:sRNA from 1 species